rnacentral:rRNA from 1 species
AUACGUAGGGAGCAAGCGUUGUCCGGAAUUACUGGGUGUAAAGGGAGCGUAGGCGGGAUAGCAAGUCAGGUGUGAAAACUAUGGGCUCAACCCAUAGAUUGCACUUGAAACUGCUGUUCUUGAGUGAAGUAGAGGUAGGCGGAAUUCCGAGUGUAGCGGUAAAAUGCGUAGAUAUUCGGAGGAACACCGGUGGCGAAGGCGGCCUACUGGGCUUUAACUGACGCUGAGGCUCGAAAGUGUGGGGAGCAAACAGGAUUAGAUACCCUGGUAGUCCACACUGUAAACGAUGAUUGCUAGGUGUGGGGGGUCUGACCCCUUCCGUGCCGCAGUUAACGCAAUAAGCAAUCCACCUGGGGAGUACGGCCGCAAGGCUAAAACUCAAAGGAAUUGACGGGG